CCUACGGGUGGCAGCAGUGAGGAAUAUUGGUCAAUGGGAGAGAUCCUGAACCAGCCAAGCCGCGUGAGGGAAGAAGGUCCUAUGGGUGGUAAACCUCUUUUGUCGGGGAACAAAACCCGGGACGUGUCCCGGACUGCGUGUAUCCGAAGAAAAAGCAUCGGCUAACUCCGUGACAGCAGCCGCGGUAAUACGGAGGAUGCGAGCGUUAUCCGGAUUUAGUGGGUUAAACGGGUGCGUAGGCGGUCCGUUAAGUCAGCGGUAAAAUUACGGGGCUCAACCCCGGCGAGCCGUUGAAACUGGCAGACUCGAGUUGGAGAGAAGUACGCGGAAUGCGCGGUGUAGCGGUGAAAUGCAUAGAUAUCGCGAAGAACUCCGAUGGCGAAGGCAGCGUACCGGCUCCAGACUGACGCUGAGGCACGAAAGCGUGGGGAUCGAACAGGAUUAGAUACCCUUGUAGUC
rnacentral:rRNA from 1 species